GAGAGGGGAAGAAACCCUCUGUAGCCAGGGGCAGACAAGCUCAGUGCUCAGGAACAUAAUGGCUGCAGCCCCAGGGCCCAUAUGCUCGCCAUCCUGCGAGGUGGAAGGCCAGCUCUGAUCACAUCCAGCUGCUGGGGAUACGACUGAUCAGAUCCUCAGCACCAGAGUUUUUGGCAAGAUACUUUUGGAAGAACACCUGAACCAGACCAUACUUCCAAAGAGCUGAACCUUCAGUGCUGGCAGACAGUGAUUUUGUAUUUUGGAGUAUUGUCUUGCACAUCAUUCCCUGACACAGAGACACAGACCACUAAUGAUCCCCAGGACUGUCUCCCACUGCAUAGAGCCAACCCAACUGUGCAUGACUUCAGGAAACCCUGCACAUGGCUAUAAUGCACAAUUAUUAUUACAGCUCUUUGCUUU